AAUUUAUCGCUUUCACAAAAAAUAUUGUUGACCGUUUCAUUUUUUUAUAUAUCAUUGCUGUCUUUUGUAAUAGAAUUUUUUCUAAAUAUUGGAACAGUAUGCCAAUUUAUUACAUCCAAGUCAUUAAUAUUUAUGUAUAGUUAUAUCACAUCACCUCUUGAUCUUCUGAUUUUUAAUGUGGGGAGAAAGGUUUAUCAGUGAGUUUUUACAUGAUAAAUCUUUUAAACUAUAAACACGAAUUGCUCUAUGUUGGAGUUGUUCAAUCAUAAUAAAACCCUUAAAAGGGUUCAAUAUUUAGAGUGAUGUCUAAAAAAUGAUGUACUUUUAACGUUAAAUUUCUUUUAUCUAAUAAUUUCAAUAAGUGUUUGAUUUGUCCUAAUGUCAAACUUCCAAAUUCAUUUUUUCUUAAUAAUUUUAUUUUUAAAACGCUUUUUUAAAAUUAAUUUAUUAAGAAUUGCCAAUAAUGAUGCUACUAACCUGAUUUUUGUUUUAGUAGGUAGCAUAUAUUUUUAUAUAUUACGUUUUAGUUUGUGUGCUCCAAACUUUCUGCAACUUAUAAUGAAACUCCAUUCUAUAGAGUUUGUUUGUGUUGAUUAAUGUGCCACCACAUAAAUGUAGCAAAUAUUAAUGAAGCUAUGGCAAUAAACUUAAUGUUGACACAAAAAUGCCAAAUCUCAAGUUAAAUGGUUUAUCUGAAUCUGUUAAAAUGGAUGCAAGCACUAAAGAAGAAAAUAACGUUACAAAUUGAAGCAGAAAUUUAACGAAUCAUUUUGACAAUUGGAUAUGAAUUGCAGAAAAGCACCAUUGUCGAAUCGUUAUGAAUCAAAUCUUUGUGUCAUAGUUGCGUAAAUUUAUUUUAAAAUUUAAGCCUGUUUUUUAAAUUUAACAUAAUAAUUAAAA